AAAGCCUGUGUGGAUGAAUAUUGCUUCCAGGAUUCACAUAAUUACAUCUAAAAUCUUAGAAUGUUAGAGCUGGAGGAAUCUUUAGAGUUUGCCCAAGGUCCUUCACCAGCAUUUUACAGAAGAUUCUUCGAUGCUCUUAAUUACAUCCAGUUGCACUGGCCCCAUCAAGUUGCUUUAAACAGCCCUUCCAGUCAACAGAGCUGCAGAGAAAAACCUUGAGUUGUCACACUUCAUUUGUGAGAACACUCCAGACCUUCCUCCAGCUGCUGAUUCCAAACCAGCUUCAC
rnacentral:antisense_RNA from 1 species